GGAAGCUGUGGGAAGGAGCAAUCCCUGACUUCCUUGCAUUUAUGUUGCAUCGUCGUACUUGCAUAGCCAUGCAAGGGGAAAAUUUCUUGCUCACUUACUCAAGCUGAACGAGGGCAGCAUGUCAUCUGGUCCUUCACAUGUCUUGAGAACUUAGAGGUUCAGCCAGAUGUGACCUGCAAGCCAGAACUGCUGCUCUCUUCGAGAGUAUUGCUGUCUGCUACCCACCCAUUCUGCUGUCCUUAACCUGUAGGGCACAUGUGCAGAAAACACGGUUCCCACACCUCGCUCAUGGUCUUCAGCAGCAGGGAAGAGAACAAGAAUGAAACAGCAAGAAAGGGAAGAGAAAAUACAGUGGCAUAAUACCGUAUGCCUUCAAUUGUAAGUAAAGAGACAUAUUCUAUUUUGCUGUCUUUACUAGAUCUUGUCCUGCUUGACUGAGGAGAGGGAAGUCCUACUUUAUCUUGCACUAUAAGGUUGCUGCUGGAUCUGAAAAAUGCAGUCAGAAGUAUUUUCAGUUAACUGCCUAGUAACUGGGCAUAGCUUCCACGCUCUUAGAGUUACUUUCAGUGGUAAACUUGCUUUGGAACCUAUUCACCAGCUCCUCUUCCUGACCUCUGCUGC